rnacentral:rRNA from 1 species
GAUAAACGCUGGCGGCGUGCCUAAUGCAUGCAAGUCGCACGGGGUGCCCCUCGGGGCAUCGAGUGGCGAACGGGUGAGGAACACGUGGCCGACCUACCCCGGCGUGGGGGAUACCCGCCAGAAAUGGCGGCUAAUACCGCGUACGGUCGCACCCCGGUGGGGGGUGCGAAGAAAGCCGCGAGGCGCGCUGGGAGGGGGCUGCGUCCGAUUAGCUUGUUGGUGUGGUAACGGCGCACCAAGGCGAUGAUCGGUAGCGGGUCUGAGAGGAUGAUCCGCC